rnacentral:lncRNA from 1 species
AACCUUUAGUUUUUGUCUGGAAUUUGUCCGGUGACCGGUUUUUACUGACACCGGCGCCGGAAAUUACAAGGUGGCAGCCGGAAUCGAUGCAGUGGCAGCCGGAAAGUGACACCUAAGCAAAUUUAGGACAUGUGGAAAAAAAUAAAAAAAAAUGAUAAAGAAAACAUCCACAUCAUCAUCUUCUCCAUUCUCCCACCUCCCAAACCCUAACUCCCCCCCUCGCCGGCGCCGCCUGCCGCCACCACACGCCGGCGCCGGCAGCACCUUCUCCCUCCCUAGACCCGUCGGCCUCCCCCUCCCCUCCCCAAAAAUCCCGUCAGCCCCUCCCCAUCCCCAGAUCCCGGUGCCCCCUCCCCAAUCCCAGAUCCCGCCGCAGCCUGCCACAACCACACGCCGGCGCCCGCCGCCCCCUCCACCUCGCCGGCCUUCUCCUCCCUCCUCCCCUCUCUGAAACUUUCGGCGACCAUCAGCGGCGAAGCCGCCGCCAUCGUCUCUCCCUCAAACCCCAUCUNCAUCCACAUCAUCAUCUUCUCCAUUCUCCCACCUCCCAAACCCUAACUCCCCCC